AAUAGGGAGAAUUAGUUAGGAAGGUAGUUCGUUUGUUAGUUGUUUGUUUAGUCUGGGAAGUAUUUGUAUUUAUAGGAGAAUACAAUGACAGAGAGGGGUAUCACUGAAUAUUGUAAUCAUUUGUGAAUAGAGUAUUGACUCUAUUGUGAAGAGAAAACUCUCAGAGGAGAGAUUUCUCUCCUAUUCUCUUUUAUGCUUUCUCAAUCUUUCAAUAUAAUUUUUCAUUCUUUUCAAUUCAAUUAUGGGGUUCCUAAUAUAUGGGAGGUAGAGAUAAUUUAGUUUCCAUUUUGUAAGUGAGUGUAUACUUUGAAAAUAUAUCAAUGAAUAUUUUCAUGUGAAAUGUUAUCUCACAAUAUUUGUAUUGCUUUACUUCCUCUCCACUUCGCUGAUUUUGGCGUUUUGCAUCGGAAUGAGGUCAUUGCUUCCUUGCAUGGAUUAACACAUACUAGGAGAUUUCAGCAGGACGAUGCACAUAUUUUCUGUAGGGAGUCCCAAAUAAAAGAUGAAGUCAUAAAAGUCUUGAACUUCAUGGAUUAUGUCUAUCAAAUAUUUGGUUUCACAUGAAGUGAAACUUUCAAUAGUAUGCUUUUACUCUUUAUUGUUCUCAAUGCCCAUCACUUGGAAGUAUUGAAUAGUUUAGGGAAUAUUGACCAUUGUCUAAGCUUGGUAGCUUUUGCUCUUGUUAAUUUCUUCUCUUUUGGUAUAUCAUACAAACAUACAUAUUGCCAAUAGCAAUAGCUAUAAUCUAUUUAAUGGCUCGGUUAUUUAUUUACCCUUGCUUGUGUUAAAUACUUGAGUAGAGGCCAGAGAAAAUCUUUAAAGAUCUUGAAAUGUGGGAGAAGGCUGAAAAUGAGCUCAGGGAAGCUUUGGAUGAGUUUGGCAAGCCAUGACAGUUGAAUGAAGGGGGUGGUGCAUUCUAUGGACCGAAGAUAGACAUCAGUGUAUCUAAUGCAUUGAGUAUGGCACAAUUUUUAAAGUUAUAUUUUUUUUUUUUAUUAUUUAACAAGUGCUCUAAGAAUACUUGUUAUUAUUUUCUUAAUUUUAUAGUCAUACACAUUUGUGUGCAUUAUUUGCUUUUCAACUUGAGAGUAUAUCUGACGAUGUGAUAAGUUUUGACU